UCUUUCUUCUGCUAGACCAAGCACGGGUACGGAGAAGAUGGAGUUAAACACCUUUUAAGUUGACAGAACGUGGAGACAAAUGAUCAGAAGUCCAUUCACUGUUUCACCGCUCAUGAGGGGGAGAGUCUCUGCAGCAAGUCCCGCGACCUGCUCUUGCCAGAUGCUUCGGACAGACUCUCCCCGUUCUGCUGAAAACGGCUGAUUUUUAUUGAAGAUUACAGGAAUGUUACAUACGUAGUUUGCCAUACACACACGUAAUUCUGCCAUCUGCACCUGCAGACGCACGUCAGCUAAUAGCCUUGUUAAUGAAAGACCAAUUCAUCCCAAGGACAUGCAACCUUGAGAUGAUCAGGACACAUCCUGCAACAUCCUUUGCUAACAAAGACAGUUGUUCUUGUAUUGAGGAACUGAAGGAAGGAACGCUUUCACUCCCUUAUGCAGCUGUUCAGCUUGAGCAGAAAAGGCACAGAGAGGUCUUUGAUAUUAUAACAAGAUUCCAUGAAAAGGCAUAUAAUAAUGUAUUUAUGAUAAUAUAUAAGGGGCAAAAGUGAGAGAUACAUAUUUAAUCAUAUAAAAGAGCUUAUAAUAAUAUAUGAAAGAGCUUAUAUGAGAGAUAUAUAUUUUCAAUCCCCCUUUUGAACUCUUUUAAGAGUUCAAUAAAGAUAUAAGAAAUCAAAACAAUAACACCAAAUUCCAUCAAAAAGAAUCCAAUAAGCAAAGUUUUUUUUUUUUUAAAAUACCAAUACAAACAACCAAUCAGAUUACAUUUACUCAUCUUUCUAGCAGUAAACUAAUACAAAAAACAUGAUCAUACUUUCAACUGAACAUGUUACAACAUGUAUGGAUCGCAUGCAACUCCAUAUGAGGGCGAAAAACCCUAAUUAUCAUAUGUUUAUAGGGAAAAUUCCCCCAUGUCCCCCCAUUUGUCAUAUCUCAAUUUUGGGGCGAACACCUGUUGGCAUAGAGUGUGCAUGCCUAGGACAUCAAUGAUCAACAAAAAAUAAAACAAAACAAACAAAAAAAUCAUAAAAAUGAACUGGUGAAGGGAUGGUUACAUAAAUCACUGAACAUUCUCACACUCUAACAACAUCUUCUUCAUCAUGAGAGUCAUCACUAUCAUCAGAGAGUUCCCCUCCCAAAUAGAUGUUAGGAUUGGCUAGUAACAAGGGCAUCUGGAUAAUUGGGUCAGCAGGUGGAGGGUGUAAAAUAUAACCCUUGUAAAAUAAAUGAGGGUGUUAAAUAGAACCCUUGUAGAAUGUUCAUAGGGUGGUUACUUCUUCCCCCUGUUGAAGACCCUUCACUGGCUCCAGGCAGCUGCAGGGGGUGAUGAUGUCAUGAUUCUCGUCCUGCAGGAUGUGGUGGCAGCUUGGCAUGCUACUGCAGUCAGCUACUUCUCUUCCUGGUUUUUGGAUCCUUUCUCUGGUUAGGCAGAUGUCAGCUGCUUCUCUUCCAGGUUAGGCUCCUCCCGUCCAGCCGGACAGCGUGUGAUGUCCUCUCCGUGAUCCUGUAUGGCCCGGUCCACCUCGGUUCCGUCCACUUCCUUUUGGUGACUUUUAGCAGGACCCAGACGCCUGGCACCGAAGGCGAAGUAUCUUCGUGUGUGGUUUUGGUCCAAUGAAGGCUUUCUCGACUUGUGCAGUCCUUGAUCUCGGCAGAUAGUUGGUAGGAAGGCUCACACUCCGGCCGGACCAGAAGUUCCCUGAACCGAUCGCCUAGGGAUUAAAGGUUAUGCACAAAAAUGUCCUAGCUCUUACUGACCCUAGCCUCUGAUACCUUCAACAUCAGACACAUACAGUUACGAACAGCAAGCGCAAUUAAAGGUACAGUGACAUCACGACAUGGACACACAGACACACACACAUGCACAUACACAGAGAGAGAGGGAGAGAGUAAGAAUGUGUGUGGGAGAAAGAAAUGUGUGGGAUCCAUUUUGCCACCAGCAUCUCCACCUGUGUCACAGAGAAAAAAUUGCAAAGAAAUUAAAACAUAAAGCAAACAACAAUAAUUCAAUGAGUAUAAAUGAUCAAACUAAAAUAUACAACCAUGCAUGGGUUUUAUAACAGUUCCGGCAACACUGGAGAGGAAUCCUUGUAUAAUGAAUUCUUAAGAUGUCCUUCAUCAAUUAGAGGUUAUAGCCAAAUUGUUUCAGGAUCCUGAAUUUGAAUUUGAAUUGGUUAAUUUACUCAGAAUAGUCCAAUGUCUUUGUUGAUGUUUCUCAAGGCUCGGCCAUGCCCAUAUAGAUAAAAUAAGCAAACAAACAAGACAAACACAGUCAAACACACGGUCCAUACACGUCUCUGUGCCCUCACACACCAAGCAAAUGUCAGACUGAAGCGAAAGUGUGAAAUACUUAACCUAAUGCUAAAUCAGUGGAAAGAAAAAAUAAGACCUAAAGCGUGUAAUCAAAUUAAUCCAACAAAACUUCCCAUAACUGCCGUUCUAAACUCAUGUUGCGGUGUGAUCUCUCCAAUUAAAAAUUAGGACAACCACUUUUACUAUCAAUUCAACCAAAUAGUUUCAGGUUGUCCCUUACCUAAACUACCUGUCUUUCUUACCUUCUUUCUUUCUUUCUUUCUUUCUUUUUUAGGAACACUACUCGCACAAGAAAUCCUAAGAAUUAAUUCACUACUUAAGGUUAAUUCAUAAAUAACGAAACUGCAGUUACAGGUUUGUUUGUGCAUAGUAUUGGUAAUCAGCAGUUUUUUUUCCUUAUCUCCUCAUCUAGAAGUGUUUCUGUGCUACUCCUCCAUCUAUAACACAAGUUAGUAUCAUCCUUAAAGCAUCUGAAAUUAAGCUGCAUUGCUAAAUCAAUAACGUGAUUUGUGCUAAGAAAUACUCCCCUAUCCUCUUCCUUUUUCCAGUGGCACUGAAUGACAGAUUUUAGAUCAAUUUAACGUUUUAUGACUAUUACGUUUCAUUUAAUUAAUUUUGCUUUUUCUCUCUUAUUUUUGUCUAUUUAUUUAUUUAUGUUAUUUACUUAUUUAUCAUGCCAUCCUGUGAUGAUAAUCUUAAAGACUUUUUAGCCAAUUGUCGUCAAAAAGGCCAAUUAAAAAUAUUAUGUUAAAGAUUUCACAAGAUAAAAAAUGUGAACAUAAUUUUUAUCGAAUGAGGGGUACCUUUUAUUCAAUAUCUUGUAACAUUAUUUUCUACCUCACUAUUGUCUCGGAUGAGAUGUUCCAUGAAUCAUUUAGUCAGCUGAAUGCCAAAUUAUUCAUUUAAUGUUUAUUUUUAUGCAAUGAAUGGAAUGGGAUGGAACGUUACUAUAAACUGUCCGGAAAUUUGCGCAUGUUUGCUCGAAGGAGAAAACUGUUGAAGCCUAAAGCGUUCUCCUAGACUUAUAAAUAGACACCGUUUCCUUAACUAAUGAAGAUAAGUGAUGACGCCGAUGAAUGACUUUUUGAAAAGAAAAUAAGGCUUUACUGCAUGUCCGCUGCAGCUGAGAAUCCUAAGACAAUAAAGAUUAUAUUGACGUCCAAUGAUGAGUUGGGCUGAAAUCCAGGUUACUAAUCCUAUUAUUUAUUUAUUUAUUGAUAUUAUUAUUAUCUUUUUUUUAGGCUAACUUUCUCAGUUAACUAUGUUCUACAGUAGUUUAGUAAAUUUUCCACAGUUCUGACAUUUCAUCAAUUCAACUGGUUGUUGCCAAAAAGCCUUGUUCAUUACCUGACUGCAGCAAGCACUCUUUUACUGGGUGUAACCAUAGGAAACAGUCUCUUUUGAGCCUUUCUUUGUAAGUCCAGGAUGACCACCGUCAUUGAUUAAAGUUCACAUGUUAGCACACAUGCUCCCCCUUUUGUACUUUGUUUCAUCAGCAGCAGGGCAAAUAAGUUUCUGCCUCUUUGUCCAUCUUGUAGUGCUCCCCGUCUUUAUGUUAUGAGUCACAGCUUUUGGUGAGGGCUUCCAGGUUCUCUUUGGUGAGGGCUUCCAGGUUCUCUUUGUAUAGAAGUCAGAGCCAAACAUUCUUUGCAGCUGGUUGUGACAGGCCCACCCAGUAAAGUUCAUGCCUGCCACAAUGCACAGCAAACGUUUUCCUUAAAUAUGUUGAUUGAGUUAAAAUGACAGAACUUUCUCUUUUACAAAUCAAAAUCAACGAUGGUUUCUAAUAUUUAGUCGACUUUAUUGACUCAAAGGUAAAUCUAGACUACUUCCUAUGCACAAUUUUUCUGAAUCGUCAAGUCGGUUCUACACAGGUUUUAAACUUUAGGCACAAUCUAUCCCAAAUGCAAGAUCCCUCCUUUCAUUUUUUGUUUAUCUAUUUUAUUUUGGGAAAAUAACUACCAGUUUUUAACUCAAAACAGCCUAGUACAGUUUCUAGCCAGGUUACAGGAAAUAAUACUUAGUUUAUCUGUUUUUUCAUUAUUCAGCAUCUCAAAAUCCAGCCAUUAACGUUAAUGGUUCUUAAAGUUGAGGCAAGACAAUUAUUGGAUUUUGUUUUAUAGCAAGAUUUAACAAAUAUUUUAUUUCCUUACUGAUUAUUUGUUAAUUUUAUGGUUUUCAUAAAGAUGAUCCUGAGAGGUUCAGAGCUGCUUUUCGCAGUACCCUGUGCUAUUUUUAGACUGCGGGACUCCUGUGUGUAAAAGUGGGUGGAGUCAGGUCCCCAGGCUGAAACUCCAGUCAUUCUCACUAAAUCUGUCCGAGAGGAAGGAUCUCCUGAAUACCCUAACCAGAAGCCUUAAGUCUCUCGAACUAAAUAACCGUCUAGUAAAAACAUGGACCGCACCCUGUUUCUCAAGCAGCUGCUCCCUCUAUUAAAAACUGCGUCAUUCAGAAGAUCCAGCGAAAGCAGCUCAUGCAAGAAGACACACAUUCACUCAUUCACAAGGCACAGAGACAUUCUUUGUUUGUCACAGUCUCUUUUUAUUAUUAUUAUUAUUUUUUUAAGGUAAGUCAGUUCGUCACUUAUUUAUUCUCUCUCUAUAUAUAUAUAAUAUUUUAAGCACAGAAUUUAUUUAACACUGCACUGGUUAUUUUCAGAAUUUAAUGCUUACUAUGCUUUUAAGCAGGCCUUAUGUAACAUUAGAGCAAAUCCAAUUGCAAUUUUUUUGAGAGCGCUCUGAGGAAUAGUUUAUAUAUUUAUUUUCUGCAGAUCUGUUUUGAUUUUACUGUUUAGCAGCUAUAUGACUAUAUUUCUAAAAUAAAGCUGUCAUUUACAUCCUUA